rnacentral:rRNA from 1 species
GUAGGUGGCAAGCAUUGUCCGGAAUUAUUGGGCGUAAAGCGCGCGCAGGCGGUUCUUUAAGUCUGAUGUGAAAGCCCACGGCUCAACCGUGGAGGGUCAUUGGAAACUGGAGAACUUGAGUACAGAAGAGGAAAGCGGAAUUCCACGUGUAGCGGUGAAAUGCGUAGAGAUGUGGAGGAACACCAGUGGCGAAGGCGGCUUUCUGGUCUGUAACUGACGCUGAGGCGCGAAAGCGUGGGGAGCAAACAGGAUUAGAUACCCUGGUAGUCCACGCCGUAAACGAUGAGUGCUAAGUGUUAGGGGGGUUUUCCGCCCCCCUUAGUGCUGCAACUAACGCAUUAAGCACUCCGCCUGGGGAGUACGGCCGCAAGGCUG